GGUCAAGCUACAAAGGGUCUAUGAUGGAUGACUUGGUUAGAUAAGGCGAUGAAGGACGGGGUAAGCACCGAUAUGUUCCGGGUAGCCGCAAACAUGCUUUGAUCCGGAAGAUUCCGAAUGAGGAAACUCAUGCCGAUUUAUAUCGGCAUAUUUCCGCAGCGAAUUCAUAGCUGUGGAAAAGCGAAACUAGGUGAAUUGAAACAUCUAAGUAACCUAAGGAAAAUAAAUCACAGAGAUUCUCUCAGUAGCGGCGAGCGAAGAGGGAAGAGCCUAAACUUGUUUUUCGCAAGAAAAACAAGGGUUGUGGGACCUUAAUGUGGGAUUGUGGACAGAUAGCAGAAGCGCUUGGAAAGGCGCGCCAUAGAGAGUGAAAGCCUCGUAUGCGAAAUCUGGAAGCACCCUAGAGGUAUCCCAAGUAACACGGGACACGGGAAAUCCUGUGUGAAUCCGGGCCGACCACGGUCCAAGGCUAAAUACUAUAUCUAAACCGAUAGUGUACAAGUACCGUGAGGGAAAGUUGAAAAGAACCCCGGUGAGGGGAGUGAAAUAGAACCUAAAAUCAUAGAUCUACAAGCGGUAGUAGGGCUAUGCUUUGACUUUUAGUCAGAGAAUGCCCAACUGCGUACCUUUUGCAUAAUGGUCCGACGAGUUACUGUGCAGUGCGAGCUUAACCUCCGUAAGGGGGGCAGGCGUAGCGAAAGCGAGUCCCAAAUGGGCGAUUAGUACUGUAUAGUAGACCCGAAACUGAGUGAUCUACCCAUGAUCAGCGUGAAGCUUUCCGAAAGGAAAGUGGAGGCGCGAACCCGUCAGCGUUGAAAAACUGUGGGAUGAGUUGUGGGUUGGAGUGAAAGGCUAAACAAACUCAGAAAUUGCUGGUUCUCCCCGAAAUAUUUCUAGGGAUAGCCUCGAGUAAUUAAAUAGUGGGGGUAGAGUGCUGAAUGGGCUACGGGACCUUACCAGGUUGCUGAGCCCAACCAAACUCCGAAUACCACUAUUUUUAUCUCGGGAGUAAGACGCCGGGGGCUAAGCUCCGGCGUCAAAAGGGUAUCAGCCCAGACCAUCAGUUAAGGUCCCUAAGGAUAGGCUAAGUGGUAAAGGAGGUGAUUUCGCCCAGACAACCAGGAUGUUGGCUUAGAGGCAGCCACCAUUUAAAGAGUGCGUAACAGCUCACUGGUCGAGCGAUUUUGCGCCUAAGAUGACCGGGGCUCAAGCCUAUCACCGAAACUAUGGGUUUUUUCCGACGUAAGUCGGGAAAAGCGGUAGGGGAGCGUUGUUUAGUGAGCGAAGCUGUACCGUAAGGAGCAGUGGACGCUAAACAAGUGAUUAUGUCGGAAUAAGUAGCGAAUACGCCUGCGAGAAACAGGCGCGCCGAAAGUCUAAGGUUUCCUGGGGAAGGUUAAUCCGCCCAGGGUUAGUCGGUCCUAAGCUGAGGCCAUAUGGCGUAAGCGAUGGACAAUCCGUUAAUAUUCGGAUACCAAUUAAAUGGCGUUAAAACUUUCUGUAUGACGUGGAAGGAUGGGGGCUGCGCAGUGUUGGAUGUCUGCGUUUUCUCCUGAGCAAUUUGGAGAAGGCACCUGAUCGAAAGUGAUGGGAAGUGUUCUUAAUCCAUGCUGCCAAGAAAAGUACAGUUAAGGAGUCAUUUAAUUGCCCGUACCGUAAUCCGACACAGGUAGACCUCCAGAGAAUGGUAAGGCGCUCGAGAGAACUCUCGUUAAGGAACUCGGCAAAAUUGCCUCGUAACUUCGGGAGAAGAGGUACCCUUGAUUGUAAGAUCAAGGGUCACAGUAAAGUGGCCCGGGUGACUGUUUAGCAAAAACACAGCACUCUGCGAACUCGUAAGAGGAUAUAUAGGGUGUGACACCUGCCCGGUGCUGGAAGGUUAAGGAGAGAGGUUAGUUUGUCGUAAGAUAGACGAAGCUUUGAACCGAAGCCCCAGUAAACGGCGGCCGUAACUAUUGAUUGACCGCAGUAGUUGUAAAAUUUGGCUAUAUGCUGGAAAAUCCUGUUAGGCUGACAGUACUUCUGUUCAUGAAACGGAAUGUGACAAUCUGUCAGAUAGGGAUAAUCAGCAGGAAAGGCCUGAAAGGGGUCUCCAUGAAAGUAGAAAUCGGCUAUUACUUAUCAGGUUUUGCCGACGGUGAAGGAAGUUUUAAUGUUUCCUUCAGACCGCGGCAAGAUUAUAAUCCACCGUGGAAAAUCUCACUUUGUUUCAAUAUUUCCCAGAAAGAUAAAGUUAUUCUUGCUUUAUUUAAACAUCAUUUAGGUUGCGGCACGUUAAGAGGCCGGCCCGAUGGCGUUUGGUAUUAUGAAGUGAAUAAUUUUACAGCGAUUUGGGAAAAAGUAAUACCUUUCUUUAAGAGAUUUAAUUUUCUUUCUGCGAAGAAGAAGCGCGAUUUCGCGAAAUUCUGCGAAAUUGCCAGAAUAAUCAAGGAAGAUGAGCAUCUUAAGGAAGAAGGGAUUAGAAAGAUUAUUGAAAUUAGGCGAGAUAUGAACGAUGGUGGAAAGCGAAAGUAUAGCGAAAUGGAGAUUUUAGGUAAGUUUCAGGAAUCCUCAGAGACUAUACGCCAAACCUCUAAGAAAUUAGAGGAUGAUAUAGUCCGGUCUUCCGAGAAAUCGGAAGUUAACAUUGACGAACGGUCCUAAGGUAGCGAAAUUCCUUGUGGGGUAAGUUCCCACGCGCACGAAUGGUGUAACAACCUGGGCGCUGUCUCAACGAGAGACUCGGCGAAAUUGUAGUGGCGGUGAAGAUGCCGUCUACGCGCAUCAAGACGAAAAGACCCCAGAACCUUUACUGCAACCUGCCAUUGAAUUUUGGUUCACUAUGUGUAGCAUAGGUGGGAGGCUUUGAAGCCAAGGUGCUAGCUUUGGCUGAGCCACAAUGUGAAAUACCACCCUUAUUGCACUAAGAUUCUAACCACUUGCCGUGAAUCCGGCAGCGGGACAGUGACAGGCGGGCAGUUUGACUGGGGCGGUUCCCUUCUAAAGAAUAACGAAGGGGCCCAAAGGUUGGCUCAGGCCGGUCGGCAAUCGGCUGUGGAGUGUAAGCACAAAAGCCAGCUUAACUGUGAGUCCGGCAGGACGAACAGAUACGAAAGUAGGGGCUAGUGAUCCGGUGGUUGAACGUGGAAUUGCCAUCGCUCAACGGAUAAUAGGUACUCUGGGGAUAACAGGCUUAUCGGGCUCGAGAGUUCAUAUCGACAGCCCGGUUUGGCACCUCAAACAUCAAUGGGGUGUUUAAUCGGUAACGAUUAAAUAGUAUUGGCUAAUAACGGUGGAACCCGACGAAUAAGGGCAAUACCGUGGGAAGGCUCUAGUAAAGCUUCGCUGUAAGAAAUUACAGAAAGCAUCUACGGCCCCCGUAACGACUGAAAUACUGCGGAAAUAAAUAACAAGCGCAGUAUUGAGAUAGUUUAUACAAGUGACAUCAUAUAAAUUAUCAUACGCCAACUCCGCGAAAGCGGAUGAAGAUAUAGUCUAAUCCCGUGCGAAAGCGCGGAUAUGAUUGCGAUGUCGGCUCAUCCUAUCCUGGGGCUGUAUAAGGUCCCAAGGGUCCGGCUGUUCGCCGGUUAAAAGGGUACGCGAGCUGGGUUCAGAACGUCGCUCUCUUCAGUACGAGAGGACCUAGAGAGACGGACCUCUGGUGUUCCGGUUGUCCUGCCAAGGGCAAAGGCCGGGUAGCUAUGUCCGGAAGGGAUAAGCGCUGAAAGCAUCUAAGUGCUAAGCCCCUCCCAAGAUUAGGUAUCCCCAUCAGGCUGGUCGUAGACUACGACCUUAAUAGGCGCAAUGUGUAAGGCCCGUAAGGGUUUAAGCUAAUGCGUACUAAUCAGCCGAUUGGCUUGACCUU
rnacentral:rRNA from 1 species